ACUAACAGUGCUUAAAUACUGAACAGAAAGAAGAGGUAACUGUAAGAAUCGCCCUGGGAAUGCCUAAUCCAAGGAUAAGGCCGCCAGGACUUCACUUUGUGCUACUGCAAGUGCAUCAAAACCAAUAUUGUGUCUUUGGCAUUCGAAUCCAUGAACUUCUGGAAGAGAAACCAAAAAGCCAUGUCAGGUAUGGCUGGAGCCUGCAUUUUCAUUUGGGAGCAGAAGCAUGUCACAUAGUCUUCUAAAAAGAGAAAUUUUGCUUUAAAAAUGACACAACAAAAUAAAAUGCUGACUGAGUCAUGGUAAAAAGCAGUCUUUGAAUUUGAAUAAA
ensembl:lncRNA novel transcript